rnacentral:rRNA from 1 species
UACGUAGGUGGCAAGCGUUGUCCGGAUUUACUGGGCGUAAAGGGCGUGCAGGCGGUCUGUUAAGUCUAGGGUGAAAGCUCCCGGCUCAACUGGGAGAGGUCCUUGGAUACUGGCAGACUUGAGGAGAGUAGAGGAGAGUGGAAUUCCCGGUGUAGUGGUGAUAUGCGUAGAUAUCGGGAGGAACACCAGUGGCGAAGGCGGCUCUCUGGGCUCUACCUGACGCUGAGACGCGAAAGCGUGGGGAGCAAACAGG